rnacentral:lncRNA from 1 species
AUAGCCAAACAUAUCUUUGCCAACUCAAACUUCACUCCAAUUAAUACAAAUAACGGAUAAUGAGAAAAAGGUUGAGAAGUAACCCAUUUCAAAAUUUUAAUCCAAUAUUAAAAUGAAUUCAAAAUCAUUGUUCACAGAUGAACGCCAUAAACAUAUAUACAACAACAUUAAAAAAUUAUUCAAACAAAUGGAGAAGAAAGUAACCCAAAAAUUGAAAAUUUACAAAACCAUUUUCUUUCCCAAAUGCCCAGUAAGAAUGUUGCAAGAUUUUAUUGCUCACUUCAACCAAAUGAGUGUUCAAGGAAAAGGGAAUGUAAAGUUUAUGAUUUCAUUAAGUAUAGAAAAAUGAUGAUGAGAAAAUGAAAGGGGUUGCUUUGUAGAGCCGAUUUUUGAAGAGCAAAUGAAAGGUAAAAUUAAAUUAGGGUUAAAUGGAAAUUGAAAUGGGAAUUAGGACAAUAAUGUGUUUUUGUAUAGAAGGACAUUUUAGCCAUUUACAAAUUAUAUUUUUCGUUUUUCUUUUUCAUUUUCUUUAAAACAUAUUUAGGCCUUCUAACUAAAAAACAUAGUUAGGGAACUUUUUAAACUAAUAUUUUGUUUGACCAGCCCCUUUAAAUGAAGUCCUUAAUCUUUUUGAAACCCAUCUUAAUUUUCCUAAGAAGUGCCAUUUUGACGGAUCAAAAUUUCUAGGGUUUUGAUUUUUAAAUGCUGUUAUUCAAUAACUGAAAUCAUUUGAAGAAUAUACUGAAUCAAAAGAAAAUAGAUUACUUAGAUGGAUCCUAGAAGCUAAAAAUCUAGAUUACUGACAAUACAUGUGGGCUCAAGGCACUUAAUCAUUGUUCUAAUUUAUAAUUGACUGAUAUAAUUGUGGAUUGAUGUUGAGGAUCAAAGGAAACUUACAGUAGACUUCAGACACAAAGAGAUAGUCGAUGCGAAUUUCACUUCAGCUCAUAUCCCAUUCUUGUGCAAUGAUCCUUUCUUGUUUCAAUUUAUGGGAUGAGGGAAGAUCACUGGUGCCGAACAAGCUAGCUAGGGUACGAGUUCGUUUAAAGUAUUAGUAAUAGAUUCUAACUGGCACUGGUAAAUCUAAAACUAAUCCAAAUCUUGAGCCCUUCGUCCCAGCAUCCCGACCAUUGAUGACUUCUUUGCAGUAACGCCUCUACGCUCCUGCGAAUUAUUUGAGGAAGCUAAUGUUGAAAACAAGAAAGUGGAAAAAUUUGGGAAGAAAGAAAAGACACAAGAAAGACUAAAAGGAAAAUGACUGCGCGUGUCAGAUGGGAAUUGAGCAGUCAAAUUGAAUAGUAAAGACAACAAUAGCAUCGUUUUGA